rnacentral:rRNA from 1 species
AUUGAACGCUGGCGGUAUGCCUUACACAUGCAAGUCGAACGGCAGCACGGGUGCUUGCACCUGGUGGCGAGUGGCGAACGGGUGAGUAAUACAUCGGAACAUGUCCUGUAGUGGGGGAUAGCCCGGCGAAAGCCGGAUUAAUACCGCAUACGAUCCACGGAUGAAAGCGGGGGACCUUCGGGCCUCGCGCUAUAGGGUUGGCCGAUGGCUGAUUAGCUAGUUGGUGGGGUAAAGGCCUACCAAGGCGACGAUCAGUAGCUGGUCUGAGAGGACGACCAGCCACACUGGGACUGAGACACGGCCCAGACUCCUACGGGAGGCAGCAGUGGGGAAUUUUGGACAAUGGGCGAAAGCCUGAUCCAGCAAUGCCGCGUGUGUGAAGAAGGCCUUCGGGUUGUAAAGCACUUUUGUCCGGAAAGAAAUCCUUGGCUCUAAUACAGUCGGGGGAUGACGGUACCGGAAGAAUAAGCACCGGCUAACUACGUG